rnacentral:rRNA from 1 species
CCCCCGUGNAGUGAUNACGGCCUUCNGUUUGUAAACCUCUUUCAUCAGGGAAGAAGCGCAAAGUGACGGUUCCUGCACAAGAACGCCGGCUAACUACGUGCCANCAAUCCGCGGUAAUACUUANGGCGCAAGCGUUGUCCGNAAUUAUUGGGCGUAAAGAGCUCGUACGCGGCUUGUCACGUUUNNUGUGAAAGCCCGGGGCUUAACCCCGGGUCUGCAUUCGAUACGNGCUAGCUAGAGUGUGGUANGGGAGAUCGGAAUUCCUGGUGUAGCGGUGAAAAUGCGCACAUAUCAAGAGGAACACCGGUGGCGAAGGCNCGAUCUCUGGGCCAUUACUGANGCUGAGGANCGAAANCGUGGGGAGCGAACAGGGAUUACAUACCCUGGUAGUCCAAGGG